AACUCAACUGAAUGAACAUAAUAAUCAUAUCAACAUCUAUCUACUUGUGAAAUUACAUCCUGUGUUUGAGAUGUUAAUCAGCUUCUUGACAUCAUGACAAAAACCACUAUCUUAAAAAAAAAAAAAAAUCUGUCCCCUCAAAUAUGAUCAUACAAACUCAACUGAAUGAACAUAAUAAUCAUAUCAACAUCUAUCUACUUGUGAAAUUACAUCCUUUGUUUGAGAUGUUAAUCAGCUUCUUGACAUUAUGACAAAAACCACUAUCUUAAAAAAAAAAAAAAUUCUGUCCCCUCAAAUAUGAUCAUACAAAGAAAAAGAGAACCUCAUUGUAAUUUAAUGCUCUGGCUAUUUGCAUUAACUUCCACCAGAAGAUGGAAGAGCUGAAUCUGAGCCAGCUUCAAUAUCAGUAUCCCCGUAAUCACCAUCGAAGGACCAUGUACUGACCUUCUCCAAAUUUGAUGAUACUGGAUAUGAAUGCAUAUGAUCCACUAACUCCCUCCUAACCUUAUUUGCAUUAACAUUUUUCCCAUCACAUGCAUUUGGGGCUGCAACCAACGCCGGCAAUGCCACUUCUCCUUCCAAACACCUCGCAACCUCCCUCAUUGGAGGCCUCGCAUCCGGUGCAUUGUUAGAGCACAUUAGCCCCAGUUUCAACACAAGAACAGCCUCGUGCUCGUUAAACUCACCAUUCAAUCUCGGAUCCACUACAUCAAGAAUUGAACCACUUUUCCACCUAUCCCAUACCCAAUCCACCAAAAUGAGCUCCUCCGGCAAUGCUUUAGGCUCAAUAGGUUUCCUUCCACAAACUACUUCAAGCAAAAGAGCACCAAAGGCAAACACAUCUGAGCUUGUAGUUGGCUUGCCUGUUCUUGUUAGCUCAGGUGCUAAGUAACCCAAUGUCCCAACCACUUUAGUGGUGAUGGGGUUAGCGUUACGAUCAUAUAACUUGGCAAGACCAAAGUCCCCGAGUCUUCCAUUUAACUCAGAAUCUAGUAACACAUUACCAGCCUUUAUGUCUCUGUGAAUCACAGUCUGUUCCCAUUCUUCAUGUAAAUACAAAAGCCUGAGGCCACACCUUUGAUAAUAUUGAACCUUUGUUCCCAUUUAAGAAUUGUUUUAGGAUUAUCAAAUAAGUACUUGUCCAAGCUCCCAUUAGCCAUGAACUCAUAGACAAGUAGUAAGUCACCUUGCUGCCGACACCAUCCCAGUAACCGAACCAAAUUUCUAUGACGAAGCCGACCGAUGCUAGCAAUCUCAGUCAAAAACUCUUUCAAACCUUGUUUAGACUCGUGACAGAUUCGCUUAACUGCGAUUUCAGUAUUAGAAUUCGGCAGGGUUCCUUUGUAAACUUUGCCAAAUCCACCAAAUCCAAGCAACUCUUCAUCUCGAAAAUUCUUCGUUGCUUUCUUGAGUUCUUGGUAAGAGAAUCUGUGAGGGCCAAUAUCAAGCUCCCAUGCCUCUGUGACAUCUGCUUUUUUUAUCUUCCUGGAAAGGUAAAAUGUCGUGGCCACGAUCAAGAUUAUGAGAAAAGUAGCUAAAGUUGAGACACCUAAAAUCAAUCCUGUGCGUUUCAUUUUGUGCCCCGAAAGAGAAGGAAGGGAAGGAAGAGAUAAAGAUUUAGCCUCUCCUUUCAUGCUGAAACUCCAUCCAAGGAUAUAGUGUGUGCUUGUGAGCAAGCCAGUUGAUGAAGAGAACCCAACAUACAUAUAAUCUUUGAAAAUAGGAGAAAGAUCUAUCUUACAGGAUAGGAUAGGAGAAACCGGUCUUUUAGAAAAAGAUGAAAGCCUUACUUCUACUAGAUUCUUGAUCGAAUCGUAAUCAACCCAUGCUUGAAUAGUCCUACCACUGCAAAGAUUCAAGUCUUUCGUUGUUGAAUUAACAAGAAAGGAUGCAGCAGGAACGGAUUUGCUUGAUACCACGCUAUUGAUAUCAAUGCCAACAUGGUUAUCAUUUAUAUCAUGCAAGUCAUAGUCUUUAACAGUGUCAAACUCAACUGCAAAGAGAUGAUUGGAGAAGUUUCCACUGUCGGUUGCAUUGAGGAGACCUAGAUACUGGUUUGGAAGCGCGCCUGGGAGCUCUUUUGAGGUGGAUAUUGUGAAAGCAAAACCAUGACCUCUUAUUCUUGGAUUCUCAGGAACAAUAGUAAAAGCAAAGGCAGUUGAGAAGGAGAAGCUUUUUCCAUUACUGGAGUUCUUGAAUUUGACUGGAGAUGAGUAAAAUGCAUGACCUACUGUGUGUUGGGUGUUGUUUGUUAACCGAAGUAUGCCAUUUUUUUCAAUCACAGCAGCACCAUUUAGGCUCAUGUUACUGGUAACAUGAUUAAAGCCUGGGAAGUAGAGAUCAUCUAGCUGAGAAAAAACUGGGUUUGCAAGGAAAAGGAGAAACAAGAAAAGCUUGAUCAUCUGGGACAUGAUAGAGAGGGAAAUUUUACCUGAAACAAAGGGCGCUCUGUUUUUUAGCAAGAGUGAAAAGGUUUUUGAGCUAUGAAUCUCGCUAUAAUCUUGUGUGUUUAUGUCAUUUUGUUUGGUUUCGACAAGAAGGGAUCUAGAAAGGAGAAGGGAAGGGGUUUACGGAGGCUGAGUGGUGUAGAUAAAAUCUAUGAUUUUGACUCCUUUCCUUAGCAAAGCACACUCUGCUUAUAGACAACUAAGAAUUCAGGGCCACAGGCCAUCUGAGCCUUAUCC
rnacentral:lncRNA from 1 species